GAAAUGCGAUAAUUAAUGUGAAUUGCAGAAUUCAGUGAAUCAUUGAGUCUUUGAACGCACAUUGCGCCCCCUGGUAUUCCGGGGGGCAUGCCUGUCCGAGCGUCAUUGCUGCCCUCAAGCACGGCUUGUGUGUUGGGCUUCCGUCCCUGGCAACGGGGACGGGCCCAAAAGGCAGUGGCGGCACCAUGUCUGGUCCUCGAGCGUAUGGGGCUUUGUCACCCGCUCCCGUAGGUCCAGCUGGCAGCUAGCCUCGCAACCAAUCUUUUUAACCAGGUUGACCUCGGAUCAGGUAGGGAUACCCGCUGAACUUAAGC
rnacentral:misc_RNA from 1 species